rnacentral:rRNA from 1 species
CAGGAUGAACGCUAGCGACAGGCCUAACACAUGCAAGUCAGGGGCAGCACAAGGAGCAAUCUGAGGUGGCGACCGGCGCACGGGUGAGUAACACGUAUGCAACCUGCCUGUAAGCGGGGAAUAACCCGUUGAAAGACGGACUAAUACCGCAUAAUACUAAAUUACUGCAUGGUAAUUUAUUUAAACAUUUAUGGCUUACAGAUGGGCAUGCGCAUGAUUAGCUAGUUGGAGAGGUAACGGCUCCCCAAGGCAACGAUCAUUAGGGGUUCUGGGAGGAAGGUCCCCCACACUGGUACUGAGACACGGACCAGACUCCUACGGGAGGCAGCAGUGAGGAAUAUUGGUCAAUGGACGAGAGUCUGAACCAGCCAAGUCGCGUGCAGGAAGAAUGUCCCUAUGGAUUGUAAACUGCUUUUGCAGGGGAAUAAAGUGCAUCACGUGUGAUGUUUUGUAUGUACUCUGCGAAUAAGGAUCGGCUAACUCCGUGCCAGCCGCCGC